rnacentral:snRNA from 1 species
AUCUUUGCGCUUGGGGCAAUGUCGCAGCCUGUGAGAUCUAAUCGAGGCGCGACUAUUGCUGGUUGAAAACUUAUUCCUUCCCCGUCGGUCGUGUCCUUCGGGACCGUCCGCAAUAUUUGGCGUCCCAGUAGGGA